rnacentral:sRNA from 1 species
GAAGCUUUUUCCUUCUUUGUUCUUUGUCUUUGAUCUUUGUUCUUCUUGAGAUUGUACCUGAAACCAAAGACAACAUCACAAGU